CAGGUCAUGACUCCAGGGUUGUGGGAUCGAGCCCUGUGACUAGCCUGCUUAAGAUUCUCUCCUUCUCUCUCCCAGACUCUCUCUCAACAACAAACAAAAUUUCAGAAAGUCUCUUAGCAUCCACUACUCUACAAUAGCUUACACUGUAUUUGAAUAUCAUAUAAAUUACUCAUUUUCUCUACCAGAAAAUCCGAUGUUGAAUAUUUGCAAGUGCCAGUGCACAAGUCUUGUGUUUUUUCAAAGGGUAAUUACCCACAGAGUGGGACUGGUCCCUUUUCAACAUUCUUUGUAUUGCCUUUUGCCCAGUUUUUCUGUGCAAAUUUAGUACAUACGGUAUUUUAAUACACACAUGCAUUCUGGUUUACUUAAGGAAGUCUCAAAGAUAGUGUAAAUUCUUCAUUGGCUUGGCUAUUUCUGGCUCUUUUGUUUUUUUGGUCUAAGUGAGUAGUUCCCCUCUGUUUCUACUACUCUUCCUUCCCGUGAAAUGAGAAUGGAGAUCCCUGUAACUCAAGCAUCCCCAGAUUUUCGGGUGAAAGUUGUGUAUCUUUAUAGCAAUGGUACUUUUAAAGUCAUCCAAUUAACUAAAGAAACAAGGAUGAUUAAGAUUUGUAGACACUUAGGAGCAUCGUUGCUACUAUAAACGAGAACUGUUUUCACUGCAAAAAAGGGAUCACUCUGUAGGCUCCAAAUUAUUGCUAGACAACAAUAUUCUACAAGGCUACCGUUCAUCCAAGAGGGCUUUGCAUUUUCAAGAGAAAAAUUGUUUAUCCUUUCAUCUUAUUUAGGCCACCAGAGUAUGAUUUGGGGACUCUUUGCAAAGACCUCUUCCAUAGGAAUCCUGGCUAAAACUUCCAAAAAUUUUUAAGUUUUUCUUUUCUUUGAGAGGAAAAGUACAAGUGAGAGAGAGGCAGAGAGCGAGAGGCACCGAAUCCGAAGCGGGCUCUGAGCUGUCAGCACAGGGCUCGAACCCACAAACUGGGAGAUCAUGGCCUGAGCCGAAGUCAGAUGCUUAACCGACUGAGCCACCCAGGCACCCCUAAAAAUUCCCAAUGUGAAGCUCUCAAUUGGCUCAUGUCCCAGGAGUCCAGGGUAAUUUGGGUGUAGGGCUGCCUAGAGGCAGAAGGGUGGAGUUAGUCGACCUUUGUCGAGUCUAACCUUUCAAGAUGUUGUACGCAGUCUGAACACAACGCAGAGAUGGGGAGCAGUAGACGUGGUCGAUAAUGGUGUUGCUCUCUAAUAAGGCUUCACCUGCAAAGGAAGGCAGACCGUUUGCUGGAUUCACUCAGCCUCAGCUGGACCUCCGUGGGGGAGGGGGUGGCGGGCAGAGCCUGCGAACCCCUUUUUCAGCGGGGGCUCACACAGAGCCGGCAGUAUCAGCCUCGUUUCUGGCCCAUCCCCUCAUCUGUGUUCCCAUGAAAGAGCCCCAGUGGCAAGACCCCCCGCCUCGUCUUUUUCUCUCCUUCUCUCUGGUGUUAACGAGCAGCAACUUACCCAUCUAGGAGAGACCCCGAAACCUGACCGUGCUCUGAUUUGCCACUUGUGAUGUAAGCGAGAUGGUUUCUAUUGUGACCGUUAGGUCUUGUUUCACACUUGUCCCGUGCCGAACAAGAUCUCAACCUGUCAUAGUCUUAUUAGAGAACAGAGGUAGAUCCCAACACCUGCUGCUUCCACACUUCCUCACAGAACACGCUUCUUUUCUCUACUGGAUAAAGUCUAGAUGCCUUAAUAUGGGGGGCAAGGUCUUCCGUAAACUUGUCUUUAUCCGCGUCACCAACCUUCUCUCCUGUGUGGCUCACAAGCCAUGUUCUAGAAAAUGAGAGCUUUUUCCUAAGUACUUUUGAUAUUAUUUCUCACAUCUAUGACUUCAUUUUUCUCCCCUCUUGGGAACACACUUCCCACCUUCCUGCUCUUUCUCUACCCAGCUGACUUCCCUUCUCUUUGUGUGUGUGUGUGUGUGUGUGUGUGUUUUAAUGCUCCCAUAUUACUCUGUACACAGUUCUAUUCCUGACGAUACCAGACCGUACAAGUUUGUUCCCCUGAGGGCGGGGACUCUGCUUGCGUCCCCAGCACCUAGCAAAGGACCUCGCCCCAAGUGAUCAGUGAAUAUGUUAAAUGAUUGAACAGGACAAGGCUGCUGUCUCUGCCUGGCAGGUAUGGAACAGACCUGCAAAGAAUGGACCGUCUUCAAAGGAUCAGUUGGCCUGUCUACAUCCAGCCACUCCAGGAUUCUCCUCCCCUGCGCAGUAGACGCUGACCUUGCCCCAUCCCUGGGCCACACAGCCCUCAAGGGGUCACACCUGCUUCACUUUGGUAAACCGGCCUAGCGCCCCAGCACAGUGUCCUGAACUUAAUGGUUAUGUAAUAAAUCCCUUCGGAAUUGGAGAAAUACACUACUUGUAGGAAAGUUGGAGGAAGCCCUGGGAAGUGUCCUGGCCUGCCCACUGGAACCAGUCUUUGGAAGGAGCAGCCAAGAGAGGCUGUGCAAUCACCCCAGGACACUCACCCACCAGUCUUGCUUGCAUACAUCCAAACACGGUGAUCGGAGCGUCUUUCUCAUAGUCCCGGAAACCACCACUCCGCUGAGGACUUCUGUUGCUGAUCCCGACAGCCCUCCACUUCCAUUCCUUGUUUGGCCAAAGACACCGAACUGAACUUUCUAGAAACUAUUGAGGCUGACGCUUUUUCUGUGGUAGAGUCUUGGAAUCCACCCCUCCGUUCUACUGACAGAAAACUACCUCUUGCCACGUCUGUGUGAAAGUAACAACCAUACACUGUAAGGCAGGAGACUUCUGUGCUACGCCGGCCUCCUUCUCUUGGACAUGUCACUCAAAGGGAACCAAAAUGAGCCAGGGUGAUUUAAUGGAGGGAAUUCUGGCCACAGGAUCAGGACACCUGUCUCUGCCUCCGCCAAAUGACCACGGGCGAGACAUUGGUUUCUUUGGUCCCUGGUGUCCCAGUUUAUGGAAUAGGGGACAAGAACACUUACCUCUUCGCUAACACUCAAGACAAUCGGGAAGGACUUAGAUUGUAACACAUUCUAGGCAUUUCCUAUAUAGCACGGGAACCAGGAAGGACUCCCGGCUAGAUAAAUGUAGCUUGACUGUGCCCCCUAGAGGCCAUAAAAGGUACGCCGGCGCUAAGCAGGCCAACGCAGCACUCACCUUUGGCAUCAAAGCACUGGGAUAGCCAGUACUUCCCAAACACAACAUCCAUCCUCUCACCGUGCCGACACACAAAGAGGCAUCUCUUCUGAGGGCCAGGCUGGCUAUUGACCCUCAGGGGCUGCAGAGCAAGAAAGGCCAUUAGUAGGGGAGUGGGGGGAAGCACAGAAGAAAACGGACACGUCCUGGAGCCAGGUGUCAGAUGAGCAGAACUGAGCUCUAGGACAAGGGCCCCGCAACGAUCUUGGAUUAACGUUGGCAGGUCUGUAACACAGUGGGGGCAGGAAGACGCCUCCUACAGACCUCACAAGUUAGUCUGAGGCUCAGAUGAGAUGAAUGGCACGCGUUCUGCAAAAUCAGAAGGGCUGUGAAAAUUGCCUCACCGUUGCGGUUGCCGGUGUGGGACUAGCAUUUGGCCGGUAGGGGAAUGGGCAGACCACUCGGGCUACCGCUCAGAGGUACCUCCAGCCAGUACAUGCCUCUAGUCAUCUAGCCCCCCUCUACAGGGAUACUUCAUCAACUUCAGAGGGCGAGGACUGUUAAUCACAACAGUGCCUGCCUCCCCUCUAACACAUGGUGGGUAGACCGAAUGGACGGUCUCCUCCAGCAACGAGGUUCUUCUCUGGCUAUUCUAAUCGUACUUUUGGCUCUCUUGUCUGGCUACACGCGCGUUGGUGUUCCCGGAAGUGGUUCAGGGAGGUCAGCGGUGACGAAAUAGGCCAGUCUAGUCAAAGGCGUGUCCAAAUGACCUUGGGUUCUGGAAGUGCUGGGUGGAUCCUUCCACAUGUUUCUAUAUUCCUUCCUUCUGAUGGUCAGCUAUUCCCCGUUUGCUUCGUGUGGUCACCUUCAUGUGGGCUGGUACUUUACACGUGCUGCCCAUUAGUUGCCCCGACAGGGUUAAUAGGUGGGAUAAUGGCAUGAUCUUUCCUGUUUCUUCUCCUGCUCGUCCCUAAUUCAGGCCCUGGGCUCCUGCCAAUGUGAUCUAGUCUCUUGAUCCUCCACUUGCCUUUGCCUCUCUUGUUCCAAACGAUCCCCACCCCCACAUUCUCCAUUUUGCAACAUUUCUGGCAUCUGUUGAGCACUCAGACAUACAUACAGGUGCCAGGCACUGUGCCGAGGGCCUUAUUUUCUUUUUAAUCUCACGACGGCCUAUGAAACAGAACUAUUACGACUUUACAGGUAACAUGUCCUUCCCUCUGUAGAACCUCUUCCUCUGCCAGCCUAGACCCAGAUGCCGGUAGGUGCGAUCAGUACCACCCACCCGACUCUCCCUGGCCUUAAAUUCUGUGUGUCUUUCAUAAAAUUGUGCGUCGUCGCCCCCAAGAGACCUAGGACCCUUGGGGGCACCAAGUGCAAGCCCUCACACUCCGCAAAGACGUGCUCAGUGAAUCCUGAAGUAGAGUCGAGGAUGCGGCCCCAAUGGUCAGCCUUACCUGCGUGGGCUGGCAGAUGAUAGUCAGGGGAGCCGUCUCCCCCAGGCCCUGGUCCUCAUACUGCCGUCUGUCCACCACACCAUCGCCAAAUGAGAGGGCGUUAGAAGACGCCGUGUUCAGGAUGGAGUGAGAACUGUAGGGGAAGAUGAGGACGCCAUUAACUGUUUGGGCCAGGAGUCAUUAGCACGUCACCCUUGGGCUCAAGGGGGAGCGUGGGAAUUCGCGGGAAACACGCCCAGGGCGACGGGUGGGAAAGCCGAGGAGGCGACACCCCCUUUCGGGAGGGGAACAGCUUGUUCUCUACUUAGGUCUUGCAGUGGCUAAACUAGGGGAAGAUGGAUUUCUGUACUUGGAACAGAUGUGUUCGUCUCUCUGGGUAGGGAUGGGGCCCUGAGUUCGUGCCAAUCAGGAUGCCACCGCCGCGGCUGGCGCCGAAGGCAUGUUAAAGAAUAAUGAGUUUCCAAUUUUGGGCCAUUGUUUCCAGCUAUUUUUCUGGCUCCAAAGAAGAAAACAAUUCCUGUUGCCUUUAAUCUUCUCCAUGGCGAUUUCCAUCCGAACUGACAAACGAGAGGGAGGAUUUGUACCGUCUCCACCAGUGUGCCUGUGGCUCUUCACUGAUGGAGGAAACCCGAUGGCCAUCAUCCUCUCUUCCACCUUCUUCGGUGGCCCCACCCCCUCCCCAACUCAGUAACACCUCCAGCACGAUGAUUAAACACAGAAUUCUUUCGGAGGAAGCCGUUCUCGCCAGACGUAUGGAGCCGUGGGCCAAGAGCUCUCAUUUCUGGAUUUUACACCGUAGCUACAGAAGCCCCAAAGAGGCCUCGCUGACAGCGAGGCAGCAAAUUAUGCCAUGUUUGCGUUACUGUGAUUAGUAAGUCCUCCAAAAGGCUUUAUCUAAUAAACACUGCAAUUCAACUACGGUCGCAAGGCGAA